AAGCUCGUCAUGAGAGCGAUGUCUGCGGUCAGGACCCGCGGCGGCCCGGCGGCCGGAGCGUCCCCGGCAUCAGCUGGCCACCAGCUAGGCGCCGUGAAUAAGUCGCGCUUUCUUCCUCGAACUUGGCGAACAUGGAGGGAGCUGAUCCCCAGAGAGGAGGACGUGGGGAGCCCCGGGGAGGAGACGGUGGAGGACCUGCUGGGCCUGGUCUGCAGCCCCCACUCGCCCUGGGCUCUGCUGGAGGGUUCCAGUGCAGAGGAUCGUUUUCUGAGACAACUGGCCAUCCAGAAUCCCCUGAUGCUCAAAGACACCUUCUUCUAUUCCUAUUUCAGGUCCCUGCAUGUGGUGGACAAGGAGGUGAGACUGGUGGAUAAGGACCUCCUGAAAUUCCGGAACCUCGAGGAGUUGGUACUGAGCGCCAAUCAGAUCCAGAAGGUUGACGCCGUCAAUCUGCCCCCGACUCUCAAGGUGCUGGAGCUGUACGGCAACAGCGUGGCCAGCAUGGCCUGCCUGUGCGCGCACCCCCCACCAGGCCUCCAGCACUUGGGGUUGGGCCACAACAAACUGCUGGGCCCCUUGCAGAGCCACUACGUCACCAGGGAACACUGGCCCCACCUCGUGUCGCUGGACUUGGGCUUCAACGACCUGACAGACCUGCAGGGCAUGGUGGGCAGCCUCAGCUCCCUGAGGCACCUGAGGCUGCUGGUGCUGCAGGGCAACCCGCUGGCCCUCGUGCCGUAUUACCGCGGCCUCACCGUCGACAGCCUGGCCCGGCUCUGCGUGCUGGAUGACAUCACCGUGUCCCCCAGCGAGAAGCAUCAGUUCCGGGGCAUCAGCCACAGCGGGGACUUCCUGCCACGCGAGGCACAGCUCCUGGUGACGAUCGGCAAUGUCAGAGGGGUUCUGGACAGCUCCAUCCUGGACCCGGAACCAGGGCCCCAAGGCCCCUUCAUCACGUACACCUAUUACGUGACCUACGACUUCGUGGAGGAUGAAGAAGGCGAAGGAAGUGAACUGGUCGGUGUGCUGGCCGAGGUGGCUGAGAUCGUCAAGCCCUCUCCCAGCGUGGAGCAGCUAGAGGCAGUCCCUGCAGAGGACAUCCCUGGCGAGCACGUCCCCGAAGAGGCCGAGGACGUUGCGGAGUCUGUUCCGACGACAGCGUCCCAGUCGGGCGAGCUGGAGUCCGUAGUCUCGGGCGGCUCGGUGGCCCUGCCCAGGUCCACAGACUCCGCAGAGGAGCUGGCCAAGCUGCGGCCCCGGAUCGACCCCCGGCUCUGCCCAUCCCCAGGCGCCCCACGGCCUCGUCCCUGGUCCUGGACGAUGACACCCCGUUUUCAUCUCCCCUCCCAGGACGGUCCUCUUCAGCACCGUCCGCAAGCCCUGGGCCAACGUCAUCCCCUGCAACUACGAGAUGCAGCACACGCUCAGGGACCUGGUGCCUCUCAAGGCCUUCCUGCUGGCGGGGACCACCGUGACCAUCGUGGAGGAGAAGAUCCUGUCCUGGCCUCUGGUGGCCCCUCCCGUCGACGUCCCCCUGCCUGCCAAGAAAGGGAAAGGGGAAAAGGACAAGAAGGAGGAGAAGAGCAGGACGGGGAAGGACGCGAAAGACAAGGCAGCGAAAGGCGAGACGGAGGCACCCAAGGGCUCCAAAAAGAAGAAAGACCUGCCCAAGGAGCUGCGCCAGGACCCGCCCGUCCUGCGGGUGCUGGGCAGGGGCAUGGUGGGCCUGGAGCCCCUGCUGAUGGGGGAGCCGCUCGUGUCCACUGUCUGCAACUUUGGGGUGAUCCGCACCGCGGAAUCCGACAAGCUGACGUUUCUCAGGGAUUCAAAGAAUAAGAAAGCUAAGAAAGGUAAGAGGCAGCGAUGGUGACCGAGGGCAAGGAGCGUGUGCCGAGGACCUGUCUUUGUCCGCCGGGGCUGCUGGGACAGAGCGCCACAGACUGGGCGGCUCGUGAACAACAGACCCUUGUUUCUCGCAGCUGUGGAGCCGAAGAAGUCCAAGACCAAGAUGCCGGCACUGUCAGUUGCCACAAGAGGAGCCUGGACUUGUUCUGUGGGCAGCGGGCAGCCCCCGAAGUGUCUGAAAUAGGUAAGUUUUAGAUUUGAGUUUGCGAAACGGUCUGGCUUGGAGGGAGAGGCAGCAGACGGGGGGCCAGUGGGGAACGCUGCGAGGCACACGGCAAGGUCAGAGCGGCGCUGCUCACAACGGCCGAGAAAUGGACCGAUCCCAGAUGCCACCCAUGGAUGGACGCAUAACCGGAACGUGCCGUGGCCACACAACGGGAUGCUGUUCAGCCACGAAAAGGAGUGAAGGGCUGACACAUGCUACACCGUGGAUGAACCUUGAGAACGUUAAGCUAAGGGAAAGAAGCCAGACACAGAAGGCCAUACGUGAAUCCAUGGAUAGGACGUGUCCAGAACAGACAAACCGCACAAACAGAAAGAUUAGUGGCGGUGUAAGGGCUGGGGGAAGAGGGACUGGGGAGUGACAGCUAGUGGUGUGGGCUUCCAUUUGGGGUGAUAGAAACGUUCUGGAACUAGACAGCCACGAUGACUGCACAACCUGUGAAUAUGCGAAACACCGCCGAACUGUCCGUUUAAAAAUGGUUAAAAUGUUUCAUUUUAUGAGGAUUUUAUCUUAAUGAAAAAAAGUCACUCAAAAAAGUAUAAGGCAAGUAUACAACAUACACGUAUCAGAAGAUUGAAUAUUGUUAAGAUGUCAACUUUUCUCAAACCGAUCUAUAGAUUUAACACAAUCUCAGUCAUAAUCCUAGAGGGAUUUUUUUUGGGGGGUUGAAAUCAGCGAGCUGAUUCUAAAAUGCACAUGGAAAUGCUAAAGACCUACAACAACCAAAACAAUUUCG